rnacentral:lncRNA from 1 species
UUCCUCUUUGCUCGCCGACGACAUGCCAAGCUCGUCGGAACAAAUUCAUCGCCACCACAGCAGCUCAGCGCAAUAGCUCCCGCUUGUAGCUUUGCCUCGUCCUACCGCGGCUCCUAGACCUGCUUGCGCCGCUCCUCGCUACCGGAAUCGGCCAUGAGCCUCAUGCCAUGGCCGUGUGCUGAGCUUCCGCCAUGGUCGUCCACCUUCGCUGUCGCUUGAUCACAGCCUCCCAGCUUGCUCUACUCAAGAUAACCGCACCGCAACCUUCCUCAGCUCACACUGUGCCUCUUCAGCUCCUCCUCUGAUUGCCACCGCCAUCAGGGCACUACCCGCAGCAGCCGCCGCCGGCACGACCAUCUCUGGUCCAACCGUGAGCGUGGCCACGGAGCCACGGACCACCUCUGGUCAUCUUUUGGCAACAUACAAGUGCACCGGACCAUGAGGAAGCUCCCUCGCCACUCCGUUUCCACAUAUACACAUCCCACCGUCGAAACCACAAGCUCCGACGAGCUUCCUCUGUUUUCAUUUCGCGCCAGGGACUUCGCGUUUGAAUUCGACACAAGGCAAGGGUCUAACUGCGAAGUUCG